AACGAACGCUAGCGGCAUGCUUUACACAUGCAAGUCGAACGAGUAUGGAACUUAGAAAUAAGGAACCCAGCUAGUGGCAAACGGGUGAGUAACGCGUGGGAACCUACAUUAUAGUAAGGAAUAGUCCCGGGAAACUGGGUUUAAUACCGUAUACGCUCUACGGUGGAAAGAUUUAUCGCUAUAAGACGGGUCCGUGAUAGAUUAGCUAGUUGGUAAGGUAAUGGCCAACCAAAGCAACAAUCUAUAGGUGGUCUGAGUGGAUGAGCAGCCACAAAUGAAGAGAGACACGGGGCAGACUCGUACGGGAGGAAGGAGUGAGGAAUAUUGAACAAGGGGCGAAAGCCUGAGCCAGCAAUGGGGCGUGAGGGAUGAAGGCCUUAGGGUUGUAAAACUCUUUCAGGAGGAAAGAUAAUGACGGUACCUACAGAAGAAGCUCCGGCUAACUUCGUGCCAGCAGCCGCCGUAA
rnacentral:rRNA from 1 species